GGGGAAUAUUGCACAAUGGGGGAAACCCUGAUGCAGCGACGCCGCGUGGAGGAAGAAGGUCUUCGGAUUGUAAACUCCUGUUGUUGAGGAAGAUAAUGACGGUACCUAACAAGAAAGCACCGGCUAACUACGUGCCAGCAGCCGCGGUAAAACGUAGGGUGCAAGCGUUGUCCGGAAUUACUGGGUGUAAAGGGAGCGCAGGCGGGAAGACAAGUUGGAAGUGAAAUCUAUGGGCUCAACCCAUAAACUGCUUUCAAAACUGUUUUUCUUGAGUAGUGCAGAGGUAGGCGGAAUUCCCGGUGUAGCGGUGGAAUGCGUAGAUAUCGGGAGGAACACCAGUGGCGAAGGCGGCCUACUGGGCACCAACUGACGCUGAGGCUCGAAAGUGUGGGUAGCAAACAGGAUUAGAUACCCUGGUAGUCCACACUGUAAACGAUGAUUACUAGGUGUGGGGGGUCUAACCCCCUCCGUGCCGGAGUUAACACAAUAAGUAAUCCACCUGGGGAGUACGACCGCAAGGUUGAAACUCAAAGGAAUUGACGGGGGCCCGCACAAGCAGUGGAGUAUGUGGUUUAAUUCGACGCAACGCGAAGAACCUUACCAGGUCUUGACAUCCAACUAACGAAGCAGAGAUGCAUUAGGUGCCCUUCGGGGAAAGUUGAGACAGGUGGUGCAUGGUUGUCGUCAGCUCGUGUCGUGAGAUGUUGGGUUAAGUCCCGCAACGAGCGCAACCCUUGUGAUUAGUUGCUACGCAAGAGCACUCUAAUCAGACUGCCGUUGACAAAACGGAGGAAGGUGGGGACGACGUCAAAUCAUCAUGCCCUUUAUGACCUGGGCUACACACGUACUACAAUGGUCGUUAACAGAGGGAAGCAAUACCGCGAGGUGGAGCAAAACCCUAAAAACGGUCUCAGUUCAGAUUGUAGGCUGCAACUCGCCUACAUGAAGUUGGAAUUGCUAGUAAUCGCGGAUCAGCAUGCCGCGGUGAAUACGUUCCCG
rnacentral:rRNA from 1 species